AUGUACAAAAACCAACUCAUCUCUUUACUUGAUUUCAACAUCUAAGCUCCCUAGAUCAUGCAUACUCGGCUCAUAUCCAAGGUCUCGUUUCCCUCAACAAUUACAACUUGCAAUUCUGAUGGAACUCAAAAGGAAAACAAUCGAAAACAAUUCACUAUAAAUGAAAAUCUUUGAAUAUUUUUGUACAAAAUACACAUGUCUAUGCACAAAAACCAACUCAUCUCUUUACUUGAUCUCAUGUCUCAACAUCUAAGCUCCAAUAGAUCAUGCAUACUCGGCUCAUAUCCAAGUCAGGGAAAUGCGCAAAACAUUAUGAUGUUUUUCUCAGUUUCAAAAGAGACGCGACUCUCAAGACCGCAAAUGCCUAAUUCGACACCCCCUUGUAAUAAAAUGAAAAUGAUCAUAUAGGUUUUACACACUUUGCGAGUUAAAUGUACGAAAUAAUACAGCCUUUAUCUAUGAUAAAAUAGAAUAUGAUUGAGUGCACUACGUACUAUCAAUUGUUUGUAAUAGAUAACAAAUGAUAAUAUAUUGCUUAAUAAAUUUGGAGAAUGCCAUAUUCGUAU
rnacentral:lncRNA from 1 species